CAUGAUUGUAGGUUUCCUGAGGCCUCCCAACCAUGCUGAACUAACUGGGAACUGACAUGCUGAGUGAUUAAGAGAUCGGCCCCAGGUCAUGUAGCCAAAAAAUGAUGGAAAAGAGAGUCAAACACAGGCUGACAAGUGUUCAUCUCUUCCCCGAAGAUGUUGAC